UACGUAGGUGGCAAGCGUUGUCCGGAUUUACUGGGCGUAAAGAGCGCGCAGGCGGUCGUUCAAGUCGCGUGUGAAAGCCCCCGGCUCAACUGGGGAGGGUCACGCGAUACUGAUCGACUCGAAGGCAGGAGAGGGAAGUGGAAUUCCCGGUGUAGUGGUGAAAUGCGUAGAUAUCGGGAGGAACACCAGUGGCGAAGGCGGUUCUCUGGGCCUUACCUGACGCUGAGGAGCGAAAGCGUGGGGAGCAAACAGG
rnacentral:rRNA from 1 species